AACACAAUAGCAACAACAGGCGGCAGCGUGAGAAAGAAAUUGGGGAAAACAGGGGUGGGUGCUAGGGUUUUGAGUCCUUAUCCAUUCAAUCCGAUUGAUUCACGCAGUCGACCAAGAUGAUUUAUCAAUGACGAUCAGAAGUAGUUGAAUUGCGUAGUCGUGUUGUGUUGAGCCAGAUGCUAGAUGCCAAGGCAAUCUAAAGUUUUCGAGUAGCGUGACUGUGAUGUCACUAGUUUUGUUGUCAGAGCUAGGGUUUAAGAUGAUUCACCUGUGUAAGCUGUGCGUAAGAUUGAUGCUAAGCGAGAUUGUCAGGUAGAUGUCUACGAGACUAAUUACGGCAAAUGAGAGAAGAUUUCAAAAGCAAGAACAUCCAUGAUGACAAAAUUGAUGAAAAGAAUUAUCAGACUAUGAAUAAAUAUGCGGACAUGGCAAGUAUAUUUAUAGUGCAAGUAAGAUUUAGCAAUUGAUAUCUAAAUUGAUUGUUGAUAUCAAAAUAAAUUCUAACUCUUUUACUAUUGUGUGUAAGAUUAUAGAUUUGAUAUUUUUUUUUUUGAAUUCUUAUAGAUUUGAUAUUUGAUUUGAUGAAGAUUUGAUAUUAUUUUAUAUUUGAUUUGAUCAAGAUUUGAUAUUA